AUGCCUUCAAUUAAGUUGCAGAGCUCUGAUGGAGAGAUAUUCGAAGUUGAUGUUGAAAUUGCAAAACAAUCUGUGACCAUCAAGACUAUGUUGGAAGAUUUGGGAAUGGAUGAUGAAGGAGAUGAUGAUCCAGUCCCCUUGCCAAAUGUUAAUGCAGCAAUAUUGAAAAAGGUCAUUCAGUGGUGCACUCACCACAAGGAUGAUCCUCCUCCUCCUGAGGAUGAUGAGAACAAAGAAAAACGAACAGAUGAUAUACCUGUUUGGGAUCAAGAAUUCCUGAAAGUUGACCAAGGGACACUCUUUGAACUUAUAUUGGCAGCAAACUAUUUAGACAUCAAAGGUUUGCUUGAUGUUACCUGCAAGACUGUUGCUAAUAUGAUCAAGGGCAAAACUCCUGAGGAGAUUCAAAAGACAUUCAAUAUCAAAAAUGAUUUUACUGAAGAAGAGGAAGCCCAGGUACGCAAAGAGAACCAGUGGUGUGAGGAGAAGUGA
rnacentral:lncRNA from 1 species